rnacentral:rRNA from 1 species
GGCCCCGCACAAGCAGCGGAGCGUGUGGUUUAAUUCGAUGUUACACGAAGAACCUUACCAGGGUUUGACAUGUAAGUGGUAGGGAAGCGAAAGCAGACCGACCCUUCGGGGAGCUUGCACAGGUGCUGCAUGGCUGUCGUCAGCUCGUGUCGUGAGAUGUUCGGUUAAGUCCGCUAACGAGCGCAACCCUCGCCGUAUGUUACAAGUGUCAUACGGGACUGCCGGUCUCAAACCGGAGGAAGGUGGGGAUGACGUCAAGUCAGCAUGGCCUUUAUAUCCUGGGCUACACACACGCUACAAUGGCCGGUACAAUAGGUAGCGAAACCGCGAGGUGGAGCCAAUCCUCAAAGCCGGCCUCAGUUCAGAUUGUAGGCUGCAACUCGCCUGCAUGAAGCCGGAGUUGCUAGUAACCGCAGGUCAGCUAUACUGCGGUGAAUACGUUCCCGGGGCUU